GGGGAUCUUCUUACCAUGCAGACUCUGGUUCUGUAUGCCUAGGGUAAGGCAUCAGGAUUCUACAUUUCUAACACGUUCUCCAGUGAUGC
rnacentral:miRNA from 1 species